rnacentral:rRNA from 1 species
UACGUAGGGUGCGAGCGUUGUCCGGAAUUAUUGGGCGUAAAGAGCUUGUAGGCGGUUUGUCGCGUCUGCCGUGAAAAUCCGGGGCUCAACCCCGGACUUGCGGUGGGUACGGGCAGACUAGAGUGUGGUAGGGGAGACUGGAAUUCCUGGUGUAGCGGUGAAAUGCGCAGAUAUCAGGAGGAAUACCGGUGGCGAAAGCGACUCUCUGGACGGCAACUGACGCUGAGGCACGAAAGCGUGGGGAGCAAACAGG